GUGGGGAAUAUUGGGCAAUGGGCGCAAGCCUGACCCAGCAACGCCGCGUGAAGGAAGAAGGCUUUCGGGUUGUAAACUUCUUUUACCAGGGACGAAACAAAUGACGGUACCUGGUGAAUAAGCCACGGCUAACUACGUGCCAGCAGCCGCGGUAAUACGUAGGUGGCGAGCGUUAUCCGGAUUUAUUGGGUGUAAAGGGCGUGUAGGCGGGACAGCAAGUCAGAUGUGAAAAUUAUGGGCUCAACCCAUAACCUGCAUUUGAAACUGUUCUUCUUGAGUGAUGGAGAGGCAGGCGGAAUUCCGUGUGUAGCGGUGAAAUGCGUGGAUAUACGGAGGAACACCAGUGGCGAAGGCGGCCUGCUGGACAUUAACUGACGCUGAGGCGCGAAAGCGUGGGGAGCAAACAGGAUUAGAUACCCGGGUAGUCC
rnacentral:rRNA from 1 species